GACAGCAGCAGCCGCGGUAAUACGAAGGGUGCAAGCGUUAAUCGGAAUUACUGGGCGUAAAGCGUGCGCAGGCGGUUUGUUAAGACAGAUGUGAAAUCCCCGGGCUCAACCUGGGAACUGCAUUUGUGACUGGCAAGCUAGAGUGUGGCAGAGGGGGGUGGAAUUCCGCGUGUAGCAGUGAAAUGCGUAGAUAUGCGGAGGAACACCGAUGGCGAAGGCAGCCCCCUGGGCCAACACUGACGCUCAUGCACGAAAGCGUGGGGAGCAAACAGGAUUAGAUACCCCAGUAGUCCCUGUCUCUUAUAC
rnacentral:rRNA from 1 species